rnacentral:rRNA from 1 species
CGGCGUGCUUAACACAUGCAAGUCGAACGAGAAAUCUUUAGCUUGCUAGAGAAAGUAAAGUGGCGCACGGGUGAGUAACGCGUGGGUAAUCUGCCUCCGAAUCGGGGAUAACAUUGCGAAAGCGAUGCUAAUACCGGAUAAAAUCUGGUUGGCUUCGGUGAACCGGAUCAAAGGUGGUCUCUUUAUAAAAGCUACCGUUUGGAGAUGAGCUCGCGUACCAUUAGCUAGUUGGUGAGGUAAAGGCUCACCAAGGCGACGAUGGUUAGCUGGUCUGAGAGGAUGAUCAGCCACACCGGAACUGGAACACGGUCCGGACUCCUACGGGAGGCAGCAGUGAGGAAUUUUGCGCAAUGGGGGAAACCCUGACGCAGCAACGCCGCGUGAGUGAUGAAGGCUUUCGGGUCGUAAAGCUCUGUCAGGUGGGAAGAACCCACCAAGUGUUAAGACCACUUGGUGCUGACGGUACCACCGAAGGAAGCACCGGCUAACUCCGUGCCAGCAGCCGCGGUAAUACGGGGGGUGCGAGCGUUAUUCGGAAUCAUUGGGCGUAAAGGGCGCGCAGGCGGCUUGGCAAGCCUGGUGUGAAAGGCCACAGCUUAACUGUGGGAGCGCGCUGGGAACUGCCUAGCUAGAGUUUCGGAGGGGAAGCUGGAAUUCCUGGUGUAGGGGUGAAAUCUGUAGAUAUCAGGAAGAACAUCUGUGGCGAAGGCGAGCUUCUGGCCAGAAACUGACGCUGAGGCGCGAAAGCGUGGGGAGCGAACAGGAUUAGAUACCCUGGUAGUCCACGCUGUAAACGAUGUGCACUAGGUGUUGGCUGUGAUAACGGUCAGUGCCGAAGCAAACGCGAUAAGUGCACCGCCUGGGGAGUAUGCUCGCAAGGGUGAAACUCAAAGGAAUUGACGGGGGCCCGCACAAGCGGUGGAGCAUGUGGUUUAAUUCGAUGAUACGCGAGGAACCUUACCAGGGUUUGACAUAUGGCGGACUGCGGCAGAGAUGUCGCUUCCCUUCGGGGCCGUCAUACAGGUGCUGCAUGGCUGUCGUCAGCUCGUGCUGUGAGGUGUUGGGUUAAGUCCCGCAACGAGCGCAACCCCUGCUGUCUGUUACCAGCACGUAAUGGUGGGGACUCAGGCGGUACUGCCGGUGACAAACCGGAGGAAGGUGGGGACGACGUCAAGUCAUCAUGGCCCUUAUGUCCUGGGCUACACACGUGCUACAAUGGCCGGUACAGGAUGCAGCGAAACCGCGAGGUGGAGCAAAUCACAGAAAGCCGGUCUCAGUACGGAUUGGAGUCUGAAACCCGACUUCAUGAAGCUGGAAUCGCUAGUAAUCGCGCAUCAGCAUGGCGCGGUGAUACGUUCCCGGGCCUUGUACACACCGCCCGUCACACCACCCGAGUUGGGGGUACCCGAAUCGCUUGUCUAACCGGAAACGGGGACGGUGCCGAAGGUAUGCCUG